rnacentral:tRNA from 1 species
AUUUAAAUAGUUUAAUUAAAAUAUUAAUUUGUGGAAUUAAAGAUUAUGUGAUUAUAUUUAAAUA